UGGCGUCCAUUACCAAUUCUGAAGGAUAAAAACAGUUCCUUCAGGUAUAAUGGCUUGUGACGCUAUAUUGGUUGUGGUAUAUCCUGAUCUUUUUGCUUUUUUCCAUGCCUUUUGAUCCUGGAAAUGCCUCGCACAUUA
rnacentral:snoRNA from 1 species